rnacentral:rRNA from 1 species
UACGGGGGGAGCAAGCGUUGUUCGGAUUUACUGGGCGUAAAGGGCGCGUAGGCGGUCAGCACAAGUCAGUUGUGAAAUCUCCGGGCUUAACUCGGAAAGGUCAACUGAUACUGUGCGACUAGAGUGCAGAAGGGGCAACUGGAAUUCUCGGUGUAGCGGUGAAAUGCGUAGAUAUCGGGAGGAACACCAGUGGCGAAGGCGGCGAUCUGGGAAGAUACUGACGCUGAGGUGCGAAAGCGUGGGGAGCAAACAGG